CAGGGAGGAAAGCAUCCAAGAAACAGUGGAUUCAAUGGAGGACUGCAAUGAAGAGAGUCCCAAAAUGAUGAAUGUGUGGCAGUCUCAGAGAACAGGUCCAGCUUCGGACAGGAAGACUAAGGAUUAAUGUGUGGCAGUCUCAGAGAACAGCCCAGCUUCGGACAGGAAGACUAAGGAGAUGGGUCCCAGGAAAAAUGUAGAUCAGAAAAACAGAUAGUAUGAUGGAGACUAUGAAAAUCUUAAGGAUAAAGUAAAGAUAGGAAAUGCAAGAUGAAGGAAAAGUAAUCAGAGAUGACAGGAAAGAUUAAACAGGGUUAAAGAUUAAACAAGAUUAAAAAAGGGUAGUUAAGUUGUCCUUGGCAUCAUUGUUCCUGUGUCUAUGUAGACCACCUGUUUUGGAAGAAGGUGAGGUUAUCAAUCAAACGGCUAACCAGUCACAGGCAUCUACUCAUUCACUUGCUAAGCUCCUUCCUCAUUCUCGUUUCCAAGAGUGCUUUCAAGGACACAAGAGAAGACCCUAUUUAGUGCUGUCAUUGUCUUGGUUGUGCGGU
rnacentral:lncRNA from 10 species